rnacentral:rRNA from 1 species
GGGCCCGCACAAGCGGUGGAGCAUGUGGUUUAAUUCGAUGAUACGCGAGGAACCUUACCAGGGCUUAAAUGUAACGGGACAGAUCUAGAGAUAGAUCCUUCUUCGGACUCAUUACAAGGUGCUGCAUGGUUGUCGUCAGCUCGUGCCGUGAGGUGUUGGGUUAAGUCCCGCAACGAGCGCAACCCACGUCUUUAGUUGCCAGCAUUUAGUUGGGCACUCUAGAGAGACUGCCGGUGAUAAACCGGAGGAAGGUGUGGAUGACGUCAAGUCAUCAUGCCCCUUACAUCCUGGGCUACACACGUACUACAAUGCUACGGACAAAGGGCAGCAAGUUCGCGAGGACAAG